GGGAAGGUGGCUCAGUGGUAGAGUGCUUGCCUUGCAUGCAUGAGGUCCUGGGUUCGAUUCCUUAACAACACA
rnacentral:tRNA from 1 species